GCCGCCCGCCUCCCCCGCCCGGCCAUCAACACGUGCCGUGGGCGGCAGGGCUUGCGGGGCACCCCGGGAAAGUGUUGGCCGGGAGGAACUAGCCGGGCCUGCUUUGCCUUCCCCGCCUUCCCCCCCCCCCCCCCCCCCCCCCAAGUAGUCCCUCCUCGGGCGGGCUCGCAGGCCGCAGCCGGCCGCCGCCUCAGCGCGCUUGUCGUUAGGCUUCUCUUUGCCCGGCUCGGACGCCCGCCCGCUGCCCCUCAGCCCCGGGAGCGAGCCGUUUCCUCGCCUCGCCGCCGAGAAGGGGUACAAGGGGGUGGGGGAGCUCCUCUAGGAAAGGCCGGGAAGGUGUGAGGGCAAAAAGUGGCCGAGUAGGUGUCACGGAGGCGCUGCUGGCCCAGAAGAGGGAUUGAGGCGUGGGAAGUAGCGAAGGCUGAACAUGGCUGCAGGGCCGAGAGGCUCCAUCCAGAUGCUGGUGGAGUUGGUGCCGUGGAAAAUGGACAAGCUGCCAGGAUUCACAGAAGAACUUUGAACAGAGAGCAGCUUCUGUGACUGCUUAGGAAAUCAGUGAAGUCUCCAACAACCACCAGCCAUUGCAUAAGAACACACCGUACUGGUGGUCACUGGACAGAGGAUCAUUGCUCCUACCAUAGCACAAACAGCAAGAUGUGUGCUUCAGAGCAUUACUGUACAUGGCAUAGGAGGCAUAUAAGAACAUAAUGCAUAUCCUUUUACUUCUUUGACCUAACUCGUGCGAUCCUUAAGAUUUCCACUUAAAAUGUAAAACCCACGUGAACUGGAAGUUGCUGGAAUUUGUAGAACUUAGACAACUGCCUUUUAGGCAACGGGCAUUUCUGUCUGAAGGAGUUAGAGGUUGUUAUUACCAAACCAUUCCAAAGCUCCAAGCCAGGUUGAUAAAUUCUGAGAAACAUGAUCCCUGCCUGCCUCAUCUCACAGAGCUUUUUGAAGUCUACAUAAGAAAAAAAAUGCCUACAAACCCACUUAGCUGAAACCUCUACAUUCACCAUCUGCUCAGUGUAGAAUUUUCAUGAUUUUGAGUGUUUGGAAGAAACCGGAUCACCGUUUCGUGCAGUUCUCACUGACUACACUGAACAGCUGACACCAAGAGACAAGAGAAAGCACCAGAGAGAGAUUGCUUACAGCGUGCCCAGAGACUAAAAUUCCCCACACUGUGAAAUCUCUGGCAGUUUUGGAACAUGAAGGAUUUUUCCAGAAUGCCAGCACAGCAUGGGAUUAAUGCAACACUGAAUCUGGCAAGACUCAGGUUCCACAGUUCCAUGGGAACCUUUUGCUUUCCGGAGCCCAGGAAGCCUUCCUGGUGAUCCCUAACUGUGGGGAUGGAGAAAGGUGUGGUGCUGCAGGCCGUCUGGAGUAGCUACUGAAGAGGAGUUUCCACUCCAUUGUUGUGCUGGAAGAGUGGAGUUAAAAGCAUGGAUUCUGUGCAUCCUUCCAUCCUUUACAAAAAUCAAAAGCAACAGGGGCCUUGCCAAAAGGUUAAACAGAAGGGGUCUAACGGGCCCGAAAGAGCAGCAUACGACAGACGCGUGCGUAACCAGGGCUGCUGCUACGCGGUCUGCAGCGGAGUACGUGCACCGUCUGAGGCAGGCACCAAGCCACCAAGAUGGGGAGAGCGCUAUCAGGUAGGUAGGAAGGAGACCCCAUUUCAUUCCGUGCCCCAGAGCUCGUGCCAACUGCACUGUGCCCAGAUGACUACCUAGUAUACACUCCCUUCUGCCUCGACUACCAACGAAUGCCUUUAAACCUCUCUAGGUAAUGCAGCUGUGCCUAAAUAUUACCAUGACUGUCUGUGUGAAAAAGGGUGACACAGUGAUACCUCAGAGCCGCAGAAAACGCGCACAGUGCAGUGGAUGUGGUCAUGUGCUUUAAGUUACACUGAGCAGAACGUGCAAUUUACACAUGCUGAUGUGUUACUAGAUCGUUAUUUUCAACAUAUCCGAUACCGUGGUAAGUUUCUAAUAGCUAGUAUUUUCCAAAGACAGACUACAGCUAUAAAGUUUAUUUCUUUAAAACAACGUAAGACUCUCAGAUAUGUACGGGGGACUGUUAAAUUCAGCACAAUGCUUUAAAUCCCAUCAUAAUAAGGAUUUGGUGUGUGCUGUUACAUCAAAACAAAUAAUGCACGAUACAUUGAAUAAGAAUUAGGCUUGCACAUUUGAGGGAAGAAAUAAAUCCCUGAGGGAUGUAAUGCCAAGCCUGAUGCUCAAGCACCUAACUGUGAACUUCAGUGAACUGUAAUGGAAGGUUUAUAGCAAACUCAAACGGAAAGUAUACUUGUGUUUUCACAGGGAAGAUGACAGACAUCUCAGACAUCUUUCUCACCGGUUCAACAUUUGUAACUUGCACUGUGAUCAAAAGCUCAGAACCUUUAUAGAAGCCACUUGGCAGUGAAAAGAAGAAAAGGCAGUGGAUUGAGAAUCAAACACAUCAGAAACCCAGCCAGCGGCUUAGAGUAGCCAAGGUGAUACAGGGAUUUGACAUAUGCAAACAGAAAAUCAGGCUUGCAUGCAGGAUGCUCUGAUUCAACUGCAGUUUUUAAGCUCAACACAAGAACCACUAACAAAUCAAUUUCCUGG